rnacentral:rRNA from 1 species
ACACAUGCAAGUCGAGCGCGAAAGUUCUUCGGAAUGAGUAAAGCGGCGGACGGGUGAGUAAUACAUGGGAAUCUGCCUGGUAGUGGGGGACAACGUUUCGAAAGGAACGCUAAUACCGCAUACGCCCUACGGGGGAAAGGGGGGGAUCUUCGGACCUCUCGCUAUCAGAUGAGCCCAUGUCGGAUUAGCUAGUUGGUGGGGUAAAGGCUCACCAAGGCGACGAUCCGUAACUGGUCUGAGAGGAUGAUCAGUCACACUGGAACUGAGACACGGUCCAGACUCCUACGGGAGGCAGCAGUGGGGAAUAUUGGACAAUGGGCGCAAGCCUGAUCCAGCCAUGCCGCGUGUGUGAAGAAGGCCUUAGGGUUGUAAAGCACUUUCAGUGGGGAGAAAGGUCAUUCACCUAAUACGUGAGUGAAUUGAUGUUACCCACAGAAGAAGCACCGGCUAACUCCGUGCCAGCAGCCGCGGUAAUACGGAGGGUGCAAGCGUUAAUCGGAAUUACUGGGCGUAAAGCGCACGUAGGUGGUUUGUUAAGCUAGCUGUGAAAUCCCCGGGCUCAACCUGGGCACUGCAGUUAGAACUGGCAAGCUAGAGUAGGGUAGAGGGGUGUGGAAUUCCAGGUGUAGCGGUGAAAUGCGUAGAUAUCUGGAGGAACAUCAGUGGCGAAGGCGACACCCUGGA